UACAGGGGGGGCAAGCGUUGUUCGGAAUUACUGGGCGUAAAGGGCCAGUAGGCGGCCGACUAAGUCCGACGUGAAAUCCCCGGGCUCAACCUGGGAAUGGCAUUUGGGACUGCAAGGCUGGAGUGCGGCAGAGGAGACUGGAAUUCCUGGUGUAGCAGUGAAAUGCGUAGAUAUCAGGAGGAAUACCGAUGGCGAAGGCAGGUCUCUGGGCUGACACUGACGCUCAUGCACGAAAGCGUGGGGAGCAAACAGG
rnacentral:rRNA from 1 species